CGUAGGUGAACCUGCGGAAGGAUCAUUCAUAAUAAGUGUUUUAUGGCACUUCUUUAAGUCCAUAUCCACCUUGUGUGCAAUGUCAGGGUUGAUUUUUCUCUCGAGAGGAUCAGCCCCAAACAUCAACUAUAUCUCAACUCUUUGUCUGAAAAAUAUUAUGAAUAAAACAAUUCAAAAUACAACUUUCAACAACGGAUCUCUUGGCUCUC
rnacentral:misc_RNA from 1 species